GCCUGCUUAGCUCAGAGGUUAGAGCAUCACAUUUGUAAUGUGAUGGUAAUCUAUUUGAUUCCUAUAGCCGGCU
rnacentral:tRNA from 1 species